rnacentral:rRNA from 1 species
AUACGGAGGGUGCAAGCGUUAUUCGGAAUCACUGGGCGUAAAGGACGCGUAGGCGGGAAGCCAAGUCUGAUGUGAAAUCCUACAGCUUAACUGUAGAACUGCAUUGGAAACUGGUUACCUAGAGUAUGGGAGGGGGAGAUGGAAUUAGUGGUGUAGGGGUAAAAUCCGUAGAUAUCACUAGGAAUACCUAAAGCGAAGGCGAUCUCCUGGAACAAUACUGACGCUAAGGCGUGAAAGCGUGGGGAGCAAACGGGAUUAGAAACCCGAGUAGUCC